AAAAACAUAGGCCCAAAACAGUUUCAAAACAAAAAAACCCUAGGUUUUUUGGGGUAAGCCUCGCGCCGCAACCAAGUACUCCGCACCAGCCGCAUCCCCGUUCACCUGCACAGCAAGAAAGAAAUAGGGCAGUAUAGGCAACGAAUAUGGCAAGAAAAUCAAGAAGAUCGCAAAAUCAAGCAGAUACGAAUAGAUUUUCUUCCCAUUUUUUGUUUCAUUGUUUGCUAUAAAAAAGCUACUAAAUAUAGUAUAAAGAGAGGAUCAGAAAAUCAAAUAAAAAACACGAUUAUUUUCACAACAAACAGAGCAGUGAGUACAAUAUUGAGAGAACAGAAAUCAAAUCAAAGGUUUAUAUUUUACAUUUUUUCACUUUAAUCUACUGUUAUUGCAUUUUUUUAUUCACAUACAAAUAAAAUAAACAAGAAAAAAAGAAUAGAAAAUACCUGUAUUCGAGUCCAAGCUUUCAUGGACAGCCGAGGAAGUCGUCUCCGAGGAUAGAUAGCCGGAAACCAAAAGGUUUCUUGGGCUUUUGGGGUAUUUCUACUGAUAUUUUGAAGGUUUUGAGCCCGGAUUCAAUUUUAGAAAGGUCGAAAGGAUCGGGUAGGGGAUUUUAUCCUUUUUCGGCCACCGCAGACGGCGGUGCCGGCGUCGGAGAUCGGCGGCCAGCGUGGUGGCUGAUGACCGGCCGAUGGUCGGACUGAACACCAGACGACGGGGAAGGGGAGAGCUUUUUGAAGGUU
rnacentral:lncRNA from 1 species